CAGUCGCCACGGUAACACAGAGGGUGCGAGCGUUAAUCGGAUUUACUGGGCGUAAAGCGUGCGUAGGCGGCUUUUUAAGUCGGAUGUGGAAUCCCUGAGCUUAACUUAGGAAUUGCAUUCGAUACUGGGAAGCUAGAGUAUGGGAGAGGAUGGUAGAAUUCCAGGUGUAGCGGUGAAAUGCGUAGAGAUCUGGAGGAAUACCGAUGGCGAAGGCAGCCAUCUGGCCUAAUACUGACGCUGAGGUACGAAAGCAUGGGGAGCAAACAGGAUUAGAUACCCCAGUAGUCCCUGUCUCUUAUAC
rnacentral:rRNA from 1 species